rnacentral:rRNA from 1 species
UACAGAGGGUGCUAGCGUUGUUCGGAAUCAUUGGGCGUAAAGGGCGUGUAGGCGGUUUGUUAAGUCAUGUGUGAAAUCCCUCGGCUCAACCGGGGAACGACGCAUGAAACUGGCAAGCUAGAGUACCAAAGAGGGGGGUGGAAUUCCCGGUGUAGCGGUGAAAUGCGUAGAUAUGUCAUAGAACACCGAUUGCGAAGGCAGCUCACUAAACUGUCACUGACGCUGAGGCACGAAAGCGUGGGGAGCAAACAGG